rnacentral:rRNA from 1 species
CGCUUGAAUACAUUAGCAUGGAUAAUGAAGUAGGACGUUCGAUCCUAUUUUGUUGGUUUUCUUAGGAUUGACGUAAUGAUUAAUAGGGAUAGUUGGGGGCAUUAGUAUUCAAUUGUCAGAGGUGAAAUUCUUGGAUUUAUUGAAGACUAACUACUGCGAAAAGCAUUUGCCAAGGAUGUUUUCAUUAAUCAAGAACGAAAGUUAGGGGAUCGAAGACGAUCAGAUACCGUCGUAGUCUUAACCAUAAACUAUGCCGACUAGGGAUCGGAUGAUGUUAUUUUUAAUGACUCAUUCGGCGCCUUACG